rnacentral:rRNA from 1 species
GCAGGCGGUUUUUUAAGUUCUGAGGUGAAAGCCCCCGGCUCAACCGGGGAGGGUCAUUGGAAACUGGGAAACUUGAGUGCAGAAGAGGAGAGUGGAAUUCCACGUGUAGCGGUGAAAUGCGUAGAGAUGUGGAGGAACACCAGUGGCGAAGGCGACUCUCUGGUCUGUAACUGACGCUGAGGAGCGAAAGCGUGGGGAGCGAACAGGAUUAGAUACCCUGGUAGUCCACGCCGUAAACGAUGAGUGCUAAGUGUUAGGGGGUUUCCGCCCCUUAGUGCUGCAGCUAACGCAUUAAGCACUCCGCCUGGGGAGUACGGUCGCAAGACUGAAACUCAAAGGAAUUGACGGGGGCCCGCACAAGCGGUGGAGCAUGUGGUUUAAUUCGAAGCAACGCGAAGAACCUUACCAGGUCUUGACAUCCGCUGACGACCCUAGAGAUAGGGCUUUCCCUUCGGGGACAGAGUGACAGGUGGUGCAUGGUUGUCGUCAGCUCGUGUCGUGAGAUGUUGGGUUAAGUCCCGCAACGAGCGCAACCCUUGAUCUUAGUUGCCAGCAUUCAGUUGGGCACUCUAAGGUGACUGCCGGUGACAAACCGGAGGAAGGUGGGGAUGACGUCAAAUCAUCAUGCCCCUUAUGACCUGGGCUACACACGUGCUACAAUGGACAGAACAAAGGGCUGCAAGACCGCAAGGUUUAGCCAAUCCCAUAAAUCUGUUCUC